GAUGAACGCUGGCGGCGUGCCUAAUACAUGCAAGUCGAGCGAACGGACGAGGAGCUUGCUUCUCUGACGUUAGCGGCGGACGGGUGAGUAACACGUGGAUAACCUACCUAUAAGACUGGGAUAACUUCGGGAAACCGGAGCUAAUACCGGAUGAUAUUUUGAACCGCAUGGUUCAAUAGUGAAAGACGGUUUUGCUGUCACUUAUAGAUGGAUCCGCGCCGCAUUAGCUAGUUGGUAAGGUAACGGCUUACCAAGGCAACGAUGCGUAGCCGACCUGAGAGGGUGAUCGGCCACACUGGAAGUGAGACACGGUCCAGACUCCUACGGGAGGCAGCAGUAGGGAAUCUUCCGCAAUGGGCGAAAGCCUGACGGAGCAACGCCGCGUGAGUGAUGAAGGUCUUCGGAUCGUAAAACUCUGUUAUUAGGGAAGAACAAAUGUGUAAGUAACUGUGCACAUCUUGACGGUACCUAAUCAGAAAGCCACGGCUAACUACGUG
rnacentral:rRNA from 1 species